rnacentral:rRNA from 1 species
GGCCAGACUCCUACGGGAGGCAGCAGUGGGGAAUAUUGCACAAUGGGGGAAACCCUGAUGCAGCGACGCCGCGUGGGCGACGAAGCGCUCCGGCGCGUAAAGCCCUGUCAGCAGGGAAGAACAAAGACAGUACCUGACCAAGAAGCCCCGGCUAACUACGUGCCAGCAGCCGCGGUAAUACGUAGGGGGCAAGCGUUAUCCGGAUUUACUGGGUGUAAAGGGAGCGUAGACGGCGAUGCAAGCCAGAUGUGAAAGCCCGGGGCUCAACCCCGGGACUGCAUUUGGAACUGUGUGGCUGGAGUGUCGGAGAGGCAGGCGGAAUUCCUAGUGUAGCGGUGAAAUGCGUAGAUAUUAGGAGGAACACCAGUGGCGAAGGCGGCCUGCUGGACGAUGACUGACGUUGAGGCUCGAAAGCGUGGGGAGCAAACAGGAUUAGAUACCCUUGUA